AUUGAACGCUGGCGGCAUGCCUUACACAUGCAAGUCGAACGGCAGCACGGGUGCUUGCACCUGGUGGCGAGUGGCGAACGGGUGAGUAAUACAUCGGAACAUGUCCUGUAGUGGGGGAUAGCCCGGCGAAAGCCGGAUUAAUACCGCAUACGAUCUACGGAUGAAAGCGGGGGACCUUCGGGCCUCGCGCUAUAGGGUUGGCCGAUGGCUGAUUAGCUAGUUGGUGGGGUAAAGGCCUACCAAGGCGACGAUCAGUAGCUGGUCUGAGAGGACGACCAGCCACACUGGGACUGAGACACGGCCCAGACUCCUACGGGAGGCAGCAGUGGGGAAUUUUGGACAAUGGGCGAAAGCCUGAUCCAGCAAUGCCGCGUGUGUGAAGAAGGCCUUCGGGUUGUAAAGCACUUUUGUCCGGAAAGAAAUCCUUGGCUCUAAUACAGUCGGGGGAUGACGGACCGAA
rnacentral:rRNA from 1 species